rnacentral:rRNA from 1 species
UACGAAGGGGGCUAGCGUUGCUCGGAAUCACUGGGCGUAAAGGGUGCGUAGGCGGGUCUUUAAGUCAGGGGUGAAAUCCUGGAGCUCAACUCCAGAACUGCCUUUGAUACUGGCGAUCUUGAGUCCGGAAGAGGUGAGUGGAACUCCUAGUGUAGAGGUGGAAUUCGUAGAUAUUAGGAAGAACACCAGUGGCGAGGGCGGCUCACUGGUCCGGUACUGACGCUGAGGUGCGAAAGCGUGGGGAGCGAACAGG